GAUGAACGCUGGCGGCGUGCCUAAUACAUGCAAGUCGAGCGAACGGACGAGAAGCUUGCUUCUCUGAUGUUAGCGGCGGACGGGUGAGUAACACGUGGAUAACCUACCUAUAAGACUGGGAUAACUUCGGGAAACCGGAGCUAAUACCGGAUAAUAUUUUGAACCGCAUGGUUCAAAAGUGAAAGACGGUCUUGCUGUCACUUAUAGAUGGAUCCGCGCUGCAUUAGCUAGUUGGUAAGGUAACGGCUUACCAAGGCAACGAUGCCUAGCCGACCUGAGAGGGUGAUCGGCCACACUGGAACUGAGACACGGUUCAGACUCCUACGGGAGGCAGCAGUAGGGAAUCUUCCGAAAUGGGCGAAAGCCUGACGGAGCAACGCCGCGUCAGUGAUGAAGGUCUUCGGAUCGUAAAACUCUGUUAUUAGGGAAGAACAUAUGUGUAAGUAACUGUGCACAUCUUGACGGUACCUAAUCAGAAAGCCACGGCUAACUACGUG
rnacentral:rRNA from 1 species